CAACAGCAGUUGUAUCUAAAGGUUCCUAUCCAACAUUGGUGUCGUGGUUCCCUGAGGAGUCUGACAGCGAACAUAUGCACCAUCAGCUAAGGUUUAGAAACCACCUAGGGUAAAGGGUACAUUUUAUUCCUCCAGCAAAUGUUAAUUUUCAUGCUUUUGCAAAUACGUUUUUUUCAGUCUUGAGGAUAGACUCUAUCCUUGAAAGGAUAUGAGGUUUAAUUGUCAAAUAGCAGUCUUGGUUGGAACUAAGAUUAUAGUUAUGUGCCACACAAAGGUAAACAUUUCAGGAGACAGAAUGUUGUUAUACAGAUAAAUUAUCCUCCCACUGAAUUUUAUUCUCUCAUUUUGAAUCACCACGGAUGGAUGGAAUUCCUUCCUUAUAGUGGCCACCUCUACCUCUAAGUAUUUUCCAGUGGUUUAGGAAUGAACAGCUGAAAACCUAGGCUAUUUUGACUUCUACCAUGAGAUGCUUAACCCUGCCCAGGCACUAUGUAAGCAGCUUGAGUGCCAAACACAGUGCUCUGAAUUCUUGAGAGUCACAAGAUUCAGUUCGUUCUUUGUUGAUACCUGUUUUUUGUCCUGCAAGAAUUUGCACAAGUUGGAAAAGAGGGAAGUUCUCUUAACUGCCGCUCCCGAGGAAGGUCUUUUUACUGAUAAAUAUAUUUGGGGAAGAGAAAACAAUCUCUUGGAAAGAAGGGGACACGCAGCUACAUUUCACUGAAACUGGUGGAAAACUGGCUUCCUCUUUUAGCAGCAUAUGUGCUAUGAGUAGCUCACAGGCAACACUCACAAGGGACUCAGCUACUGGAAAGAAAAAGUCAAGACCCACGUUACAAAGACGGACUUCUACUAGCAUCUGCACCAGGCACUGCUGCCAACAGAGAAAAUGGAAGCUGUUGCUUCAACCUUCCCAUUAGGAAGUCGUGAUCACCCUGGGAUUUCCUUAAGCCCCCGUCCUUUUAUUCCUCCCUGGCACACAGGAGGAGGUUUGAAGACACGAAGAUCUGAGUCUCACAAGAUUUCUGGUUUUCUAACAAGAAAAAGGAACUUACUAAGGAGGGUACCAAAUUUGCAGAUUUUUUGUCUGAAUAUAUUUAUUUACAUAGACUCACUUCGUGGCCUAAGCCAGAUUUUUAAUUCUGUACUAUCUGUCUUCAUUAGGUUAAUACAGAAAAUGUAAAUUUCAUUUUCUCUUUUUGAAGGACACCUUGUAAUGAGAUUAUCCGUAAACUGAUCUUUGCUAUCUGUCUCCCUCUGUUAGCUUCUUAUUGCCAGGUGUGAAAUAAAUACAAGCAUUAUCUUUUGAA